AUUGAACGCUGGCGGCAGGCCUAACACAUGCAAGUCGAGCGGAUGAAGGGAGGUUGCUUCUGGAUUCAGCGGCGGACGGGGGAGGAAUGCCUAGGAAUCUGCCUGGUAGUGGGGGAUAACGUCCGGAAACGGGCGCGAAUAUCGCAGACGCCCUGAGGGAGAAAGCGGGGGAUCUUCGGACCUCACGCGAUGAGAUGAGCCUAGGUCGGAUUAGCUAGUUGGUGGGGUAAAGGCCUACCAAGGCGACGAUCCGUAACUGGGCUGAGAGGAUGAUCAGUCACACUGGAACUGAGACACGGUCCAGACUCCUACGGGAGGCAGCAGUGGGGAAUAUUGGACAAUGGGCGAAAGCCUGAUCCAGCCACGCCGCGUGUGUGAAGAAGGUCUUCGGAUUGUAAAGCACUUUAAGUUGGGAGGAAGGGAAGUAAAUUCAUACCUUGCUGUUUUGACGUUACCUAAAGAAUAAGCACCGGCUAACUUCGUG
rnacentral:rRNA from 1 species